CGCAAGCCUGAUCCAGCCAUGCCGCGUGCAGGAAGAAGGCCUUCGGGUUGUAAACUGCUUUUGUACGGAACGAAAAAGCCCUGGUUAAUACCUAGGGCUGAUGACGGUACCGUAAGAAUAAGCACCGGCUAACUACGUGCCAGCAGCCGCGGUAAUACGUAGGGUGCGAGCGUUAAUCGGAAUUACUGGGCGUAAAGCGUGCGCAGGCGGUUUUGUAAGACAGAGGUGAAAUCCCCGGGCUCAACCUGGGAACUGCCUUUGUGACUGCAAAGCUGGAGUGCGGCAGAGGGGGAUGGAAUUCCGCGUGUAGCAGUGAAAUGCGUAGAUAUGCGGAGGAACACCGAUGGCGAAGGCAAUCCCCUGGGCCUGCACUGACGCUCAUGCACGAAAGCGUGGGGAGCAAACAGGAUUAGAUACCCUGGUAGUCCACGCCCUAAACGAUGUCAACUGGUUGUUGGGUCUUAGCUGACUCAGUAACGAAGCCAACGCGUGAAGUUGACCGCCU
rnacentral:rRNA from 1 species